GAUGAACGCUGGCGGCGUGCCUAAUACAUGCAAGUCGAGCGAACAGAUGAGGAGCUUGCUCCUCUGACGUUAGCGGCGGACGGGUGAGUAACACGUGGAUAACCUACCUAUAAGACUGGGAUAACUUCGGGAAACCGGAGCUAAUACCGGAUAAUAUAUUGAACCGCAUGGUUCAAUAGUGAAAGACGGUUUUGCUGUCACUUAUAGAUGGAUCCGCGCCGCAUUAGCUAGUUGGUAAGGUAACGGCUUACCAAGGCAACGAUGCGUAGCCGACCUGAGAGGGUGAGCGACAAGACUGGAACAGAGACACGGUGCAGACUCCUACGGGAGGCAGCCGUAGGGAAGCUUCCGCAAUGGGCGAAAGCCUGACGGAGCAACGCAGCGUGAAUGAUGAAGGUCUUCGGAUCGUAAAACUCUGUUAUUAGCGAAGAACAAAUGUGUAAGUAACUAUGCACGUCUUGACGGUACCUAAUCAGAAAGCCACGGCUAACUACGUG
rnacentral:rRNA from 1 species